UCGGGACGGGUGGACCGACGGCGGACGGUGGCGGAUAAACUGGUGCGCGGAACGUCGCGGGGCGCAGCCCCCUGCCGGUCCACCCAUGAUCAGCCAGCAGCCGCUGCAACCCCAGGGAG
rnacentral:sRNA from 22 species